AUGAUGAUGGACAACGGAGACUUCACUAACACGCUCCACACAUUUGAGGACCUGCCUUGCAAGGGUCUUGGAGACAAAAUGUCAAAUGCAAGCAAUAGUAGAUGCUCAAGUCCAGCAUAUGGAGUUCCUAGUGAUGAGGGAAAUCAACCCAGUGAAUCCCAUUCCGAUAUAAUAAGACAGCUUCAUGAUGAAAUAGAUCGGUCCAAAAUGUCAUACAAAGAAGUAGAGGCUAUGGUCCAUGCCCACAUGAAGCCUAUUUUGGAUCAAAUUCGUUCAGAUGCAUGUAAAUUGGUGAUUAAGUCAUCAGCAUUGGAGGAUGGCUGUCACAGGAAAGACCAGCAGGACAGACACAUUCUCUUACACAUCCCCUCCCUCCAAGAGCUCCUUUUGAAAUUAGCCUUUACAAAAAACUCAGAUGACGUGCAGAGUUACCUGAUCUCGUCCGACCGAACAUUCCUACUCUCUGAGAACGAUGCCCUGAAAAUGGAGCUCAGAGAUGCCAAGUCUCGACAUGAGACUGUGAUGAAGAGCCUGCACCUUUCCCUUCACUCUGCUGAACAAGAAAACAAGAGCUCCAAGCUCACACUCCAGCAGAACCUCAGACUUUCUGAGGGCAAGGUAAACUCCAUGGAGCAGAAACUCAAGGAGUUUGAAGGACAGGUCCUGUCCUUGCAGCACAAUCUCAUGGCCUCUAAUGAAAGGACUCAGAGUCUGCAGAAAACCCUCCGGUUCUCUGACAAUAGGCUCCAGUCCCUUCAGCAGGACCUGGACGAGUCUGAGAAGAGAGGCCAAAGCCUGCAGAAAAGCCUUGGGGACUCCCAAGAGAGGAACCAGACUCUGCAACAUAACCUGGCUUCCUUUGAGAAGAACAACCAGUGCCUUAGCCAGAACCUUAGCGCUUCAGAGAAAAAGGUUGACUUCCUUCAGCACAGUAACUGGAAGUUUGAGGAGAGGGUGAAGUCUCUGCAGCAGACCCUCGGCUCUUCUGAGGGAAAGGUCUCUCUCCUGCAGCAGAGUCUGAAGUCUUCAGAGGAGAAGGUCUUAUCCCUCCAACAUGACCAUUGGGCCUUGGAUGAGAGAGCCCAGUCCCUGCAGCAGAGCCUCAACUCCUCAGAGGAAAAGCUCCAGUCGACACAACAUUGGCUCAAGGCUACAGAUGAGAAAGCCAAAGCCCUGAAGGAAGCUCUCAGAUCUUCAGAGGAGAAGACCCAGUCCUUACAGGAGGCCCUGGGGGUCAGUGAGAGCUGGAUCAGGGCAACCAAGGCCCAGCAGCAGUCUCUGGAGAAAUGCAAAGAGGAGCUGGAGGAGAGGAUCAAGGGUUUGAUGCAGACUCUCCGGGCCACUGAGGGGGAGCACCACAGCACAGUGCAGGACCUGCAGGUGGGUCUUCAGAGUGCCAGGGAGAAGGUGGAGAUUCUGCAGGAUGCACUGAACAGGACUGAGUCUGGGCAUGUGAAGGAGGUGGGGCAGCUUCAAGAGAAACUGAACAGAGCUGCAAAAAAAUUGUCUUCAAGAGAGCAGGCGCUGCACAGCCAGAUUGCUGCCUUGAACACUAAAUUGCUGGAGGAGCAGUCAAAGGCAAGCAAGGACCUUGAAAGAUCCAUUAGAUAUGAGAAAGAGCUGCAAGACACUGUCAAGAUUCUCAGGAAGAAGCUGAGAACUCAAACUGAGGAGAAGGGGUUUGCUCUGAAUAGCCUGAGAAUGCGUCAGAAGGACCUGGCGGAUGUACAGCGCCACCUACAGGCAGACCUGCUGAGGUGCAGCCAGGUCUGUGGCAAGGAGAAGGGACCGCAGUACUUAGCCCCCCGCAAGGGUGGCCUGAAGGAGGAGUUCUUCCACCUGAGAACCAGCCUGCACUCCGUCCUGGAGAAGGAGGCUGGGAGAGACGACCCAGGGAGGCAAGACUGGGUGCAGGUGUUAGACGAGAUCAAGGACUGGGAGAAAAGGGCAGAAAAACAGGUGGACAGUUUAGAUUCUCUGCAGAGUUCCCAGCUGCUGGAAGAAGGAGGGGAUGAAAGGUACCAAUAUAGAGCAGGAGCAUGGAAAAGUGGAGCACCACCCUCCAUCCGUUCCCCUUCUGCUGUGACGAUUUCCCAGAGGAACCUCUCUACGAGGCCUGCUUCUCCAUAUCCCUAUGGGCAAUAUCUAGGGCAGGAGAAGAGGCUUGGGUCUAGCUCCCUCCGUGGCUUGAAUGAUUCUGAAGGCAUGCAGCAUUUACUAACAAUCCAAAAAAGACUGAAGAACCUCCAGUCAGUUGAAUUCCAGAGGAAUAUCAAGGGUUUACUCCGGACCUCAUAG
ensembl:lncRNA